rnacentral:lncRNA from 1 species
AAAUGAAGAACAAAGAGGGCAUAUUGGGAUCACGGCGUUGAGGCAGCGGCUGAGGCGGGGCAGAUCUUGGUUGCGGUGCUUGAGUUGGUGGAAUUAUUUGAAUUGAAUGUUGUGAUUGCAUCUCCACAUUUUGAAUUUCUGCCAUUUAUUUCUCCUCCUCCUCCUCCUCCUGCUUCAUUGUAACAUCAUCGUCAAUUCAUCAAAUUAAGGAGUAAACAUUAAAUAUUUGUUUAAAUGUUUAUUUCUGUGUAGUAUAAUAGAGAUAAUUUAUGCAACGAAUUAUGGAGGAAUAAUAUGAAUGGUUAACAAAACAAAAAAAUUUAAUUACCUUAAUUACUUCAAAUCGUAAAGACGCCUGUAAUUGUAAGCAUUAACUCAAGAGGAAUGGAGCAAGCAGGUGAACUGGAGACCAGAGAUGCCUUUAUGUAACAAGAAGCUCAAGUCUUUCA